rnacentral:rRNA from 1 species
AUAUCAGUCAUGCAUAGCAUAUCAAUAAGCGGAGGAAAAGAAACUAACAAGGAUUCCCUUAGUAACGGCGAGUGAAGCGGGAAGAGCUCAAAUUUGAAAUCUUCAAGGUUCUACCUUGACGGAUUGUAGUUUAAAGAAGUGUUUUCUGUUGGAGUUUUGGUAAAAGUUCUUUGGAAUAGGACAUCAUAGAGGGUGAGAAUCCCGUAUUUGACCAUUACUUUCCAGCUGUGUGAUACACUUUCAAAGAGUCGGAUCGUUUGGGAAUGCAGUCCAAAAUGGGUGGUAAAUUUCAUCUAAAGCUAAAUAUUGGCGAGAGACCGAUAGCGAACAAGUACCGUGAGGGAAAGAUGAAAAGAACUUUGAAAAGAGAGUUAAACAGUACGUGAAAUUGUCAAAGGGGAAGCGUUUGACACCAGUGUUGUUUUUCCGAAAAUCAAUUACGAAUGUUUUAUUUUUGAGGAGUUAUGACUUCAUCGGCUUGCUCCUUUCUUUAUGAAACUUUCUUAAUGCACUUUUCGGUUAACAAGUCAACAUCAAUUUCUUUUGUUGUAAAAGGGUAUGAGGAAGGUGGCUUUCUUUUCGGAGAAAGUGUUUAUAGCCUUGUGCCUCUGCAAUCGGAGAGAUUGAGGUCUGCAGCGUAGAUCCUUCGGGGUUAGAUACAUUUGUGCUAAGUUAUAGCUUUUCAUAGACAACUUGUUGACUAUGUUUAGUCUUGUAGCUUACUCGCUGACGCUAUUUUACCUACGCUUAGGAUGUUGAUCUCUCACAGUCGAGC